rnacentral:tRNA from 1 species
GGCCUCGUGGCGGAAUGGCUACGCGGGGGACUGCAAAUCCGUCCAGGGCGAGGCCA